UUUCAGCUUUCACAGGACUGGGUGGGC
rnacentral:piRNA from 1 species